ensembl:snRNA U6 U6 spliceosomal RNA
GUGCUUGCUUCAGCAGAACAUAUUUUAAAAUUGAAACAAUACAGAGAAGAUUAGCAUGGCACCUGAGCAAGGAUGACAACCAAAUUGAUGAAGCAUUCCGUGUUUUG